rnacentral:rRNA from 1 species
AUGCAGUCGAGCGGUAGAGAGAAGCUUGCUUCUCUUGAGAGCGGCGGACGGGUGAGUAAUGCCUAGGAAUCUGCCUGGUAGUGGGGGAUAACGCUCGGAAACGGACGCUAAUACCGCAUACGUCCUACGGGAGAAAGCAGGGGACCUUCGGGCCUUGCGCUAUCAGAUGAGCCUAGGUCGGAUUAGCUAGUUGGUGAGGUAAUGGCUCACCAAGGCGACGAUCCGUAACUGGUCUGAGAGGAUGAUCAGUCACACUGGAACUGAGACACGGUCCAGACUCCUACGGGAGGCAGCAGUGGGGAAUAUUGGACAAUGGGCGAAAGCCUGAUCCAGCCAUGCCGCGUGUGUGAAGAAGGUCUUCGGAUUGUAAAGCACUUUAAGUUGGGAGGAAGGGCAGUAACCUAAUACGUUAUUGUUUUGACGUUACCGACAGAAUAAGCACCGGCUAACUCUGUGCCA